rnacentral:RNase_P_RNA from 1 species
AGAGCAGGUCAGGCAACUGCGGGCACAAGGCCGCAAGGCAGUGUUCGAGGAAAGUCCGAACUCCACAGGGCAGGGUGCUGGGUAACGCCCAGCGGGGGCAACCCCAGGGACAGUGCCACAGAAAGAAACCGCCGCAGGUUCACCACCGCCACGGUGCGUGACCCACGGUAAGGGUGCAACGGUGGUGUAAGAGACCACCAGGGGCCGGGUGACCGGUCCGCUAGGUAAACCCCACCUGGAGCAAGACCAAAUAGGGGGAGGAUGAUAGGGCCCGUGGACUCCCCGGGUAAGGUCGCUUGAGGCCCCGGGCAACCGGGUGCCCAGAUGGAUGGUUGCCACCCCGGCUACCGGUAGCGGCCGGGUCCGGGGGUACAGAAUUCGGCUUACAGACCUGCUCACCGC